GCACCUGUGGCAUAUGGAAGUUCCUGAGCUAGGGGUGGAAUCGAAGUUGCAGCUGCUAGCCCACGCCACAGCCAGGGCGACACCGGAUCCAAGCUGCAUCUGAGACCUAUGGCCCAGCUUGUGGCAACUCUGAUACUUAACUCACUGAGCGAGGCCAGGGCUCAAACCUGCAUCCUCACAGACACUAUGUUGGGUUUUUAACCCACUGAAUCACAAUGGGAACUCCAGCCAUUUCAUUUUUAAAAUUAAAAUCAUGACGUAUAUAGAGCAACCUGUUCAUAGAAAGCACUAGCAUUUUUUCUCCUCUUUGUCAAAAGGGGAGUAUCUUUAUUAUUUUAAAUCAUUGUCUUUAUAUUCUUAUUUCUUCAACGCCAUUCAUUAUAGGUUAUUUCUAAAACUCAAGAUCAGCAGAUACUGAUGUUUUUAUAUAUUUCAUACACGAUUUUCACAGACAUCACACAGAUAAUUUCACCUUUAAAUUGAUUUUACCAUGUUUUCAUUUUUUUUUCACUCUACUGUGGGUAGAAAGUAUUUACGACAAGAUGUUCUUUAUGACUUGCAAAAUUGUUUCUGCCAUUCUGGUAAGAUAUUUAUUUUUUAAAUAAAUGUUCUCAUGAUAGUACCAAAUGAUGCUAUAAGUAAGGAUUUUGUUGAUGAUGCUGUUGUUUCUGUUUUAUUUCUUUUUAAUUUGCUAUGUUGUUCCUCUAGUCAUUAGUUCUUAAGAGAUUUGAUUUUAGGACUAAAGGCCCUGAAAGCAAGUAAUAAUAUUCUAGCAUUGGUUUCACAAGAGAAUUUACCAUUUAUUUGCAGAUAUUCUCCAGAAGCCAGCAUAUGGAGUUACUGGUCCAGGGAUCCAGAUGAAAGCCACAACUAUGGCAACACCAGAUCCCCAACCCACUGCACUGGGCCGGGGAUUGAACCUGGGGAUCGAACCUGCAUUCCAGUGCCCCCAAGAUGCCAUUGAUCCUGCUGUGCCACAGUGAGAACUCCCAUAAAUUAAAAAAAAAGAAUAGAGUAAAACAAAAUAAAUGCAAAGAAGCUGUAUUCAGUAUGGCAUGUGUACAGGUUCAGCUCCUGUAGGAGAUUUUUGUGUGUUGCAAUUUAUCAUAAGAAAGAGCACAUGGGUUUCUAUCUACCUGUAAACACUCCCUGAUGCUAGUCACUCUGUAGAUAAUUAGGAAAUAUUUAUGUUAAGUAUCUUUAUACUUAAAAUAUUCAUCUUAAGUAUAAUCUAUUGGAUAAGUAUUUUAUCCAAUAGAUUUUCCUGCCUGGUUGUGACUGGCACUGACUCUUUUCCCAAUGGCUGUUUACUGGGCUCACACUGAUAUUAGAGUGGUUCCAGAACUAGAAAAUGUCUCCUGAGUUUUACCUUUUGAAGAGCUCCAAGCCAGAGUUGAGAGAAGCAGCUAUUGUUGGGUAUCUGCAUAUGUAAUGCAGUUUGCAGUAGCUUAUCAAUCAGGUUGCUAAUUGGUUGGUUGAGACCCUUCCUGUUGUCUUCUUUACUAAUCUACUAGAUUGCACUGACCAUAGAUUAUCUGUGAUGUUCAUUUUAAUCUUAUAUAACUAGCAUGAAUGGCCAUACUUGGGACAGGAGGUUUUCUAUUUUCUCUAAGCACAGAAAUGUUCUGGGGUGGGGUAGGGAGCUUUGGAUUAAGACCCAGAAGAACCUGAAAUGGUAGAUUGACUUGAUAAACUUGAUCCUUGAUACUGAGGCUCUGAUGAUGAUGAUUGAUACACAAAAUCUACUACGUAUCAACCCGUUCUCUUUGCCCUCUAGGAGUGGAUUAGACGGGAGACCCCGAUUGGGGGCCCAUCUCAAUGCUUUCUCCACCAGCCAUUGCUUAAUGUUAACCUCAGAUGGAUGAUCCUCACACUCCCUAGAACUGGGAUUUUAUCCAAAACACCCGUCUCCUAUAAGUCAUGAUAUAAAACAAAUACACAGUGUUUUGCAUCUUAGUAUUUGAGUAUGCAUAUGUGGCAUGCCAUUUUGAAAAUUAAAAUUCUCCAAAGUUAAAUGACUUAUCAUGAUUGUUAUAAUACAUCACUAGACUUUUCUAAUUACAUUAAUAUAAAGCCCUAUUUAAGGAAUACAGUCUAAGAAUGACUAGUCUUUUUAAGCCAUUACAGAAAGUUGUUAUGAUUUUUGAAAAAAUUAAAUAAAUUCCAAAUGCUCUAAAAGAGCUCAGAGUCUGUUUCCCAUUCCAUUAGCUGAGAUAGAUCAGGAGUACUAUGGUUUUCUACACACACACUCAAAACCAGUACUCCCCAAAUUGUUCAUAUACCAGCACACAUAGAGAAUGAUGGAGAAAAGUGGAGUCUGCUUUCAGCCUGAGAUGAAUGACCCCAGGGACUCUGAACAUCUAAAGUCUCCCCUAGUAGCCCUGAGGUCUGAGGGGGUCAAUAAUUCGGCAUAUCUGUGACCUGUGCUAUGCAUGCCACACCAGGACUCAGGAUGAAAGCACAGUAUUAAAUUUACGCAAAUGCACAUGAAAAGAUUCAGAACACUAUUAGAUGUUUAGGAAAUGCAAACCGAAAUGACAAUUUGCUACCACUUCACACCCAUGAGGAUGACUAGAAUGAAAUAAAACUUGAAAACAAAACAAAAUACAACAAGCAUUGGCGAGGACAUGGAGAAUUUGGAACCCUCGUACAGUGCUAAUGAGAAUGUAAAAUGGUUCAGCCAUUUUGCUGUUGGACAAGCUAAACAGAGAAUUAGCAUAUGACCCUGCCAUUCCACUCCUAGAUAUAUGCCC
rnacentral:lncRNA from 1 species